rnacentral:rRNA from 1 species
UACGUAGGUCCCGAGCGUUGUCCGGAUUUAUUGGGCGUAAAGCGAGCGCAGGUGGUUUAUUAAGUCUGGUGUAAAAGGCAGUGGCUCAACCAUUGUAUGCAUUGGAAACUGGUAGACUUGAGUGCAGGAGAGGAGAGUGGAAUUCCAUGUGUAGCGGUAAAAUGCGUAGAUAUAUGGAGGAACACCGGUGGCGAAAGCGGCUCUCUGGCCUGUAACUGACACUGAGGCUCGAAAGCGUGGAGAGCAAACAGG